CACGCCCGCGCUCCGCCGGGAGGGAGAGGGAGAGAGAGAGAGAGGGCGAGCCCUCAGGAGUCAGGGAGUGCGAUAGGACGCCAGCUUGUCUUUGGUAGGAAACUUGAAGCACAGAAAGGCUGAGCCUUGCCAAAAGUCACAUGGAGAACAAUGUGGGUGGCAGAGCUUGAAAUCCAGCUCACUUCAGUUAGCCAUGGGACCACAUUUCUCUUUGCCAUCUACCAACUUUCAAAGAGUCAGUCAGUCUCACUCUGCUUGUUCCAAGAAGGUUCCACUCAGUGCCUUGUCUGACCUGCUCUGGGAAUAGUGCAAGAAGCUUCUAUCUGCCUCAUCUGUUGUAGGAGCUGGACAGUGUGAGAUGAAUGAAGCUUGCAAGAGAAGAGAGUGUGAGCUAUGAAUAAGAGGCUGAAUACUUGCUCAGCUGGAUUCUACUUACAGUGACCUCCUUAGCACUAAAGCUGUUACUUCGUGGCCAGUUUACACUUUCAUGGCUCACACCUACAGCUACAGUGACAACAGGUGAAAUCCAGCCUCUCUCUAGCUGGGGCUCUUUAUUUUGCUCUCAUAUUAGUGCAGUAGAUUGGUGAAUCAAAUAAAGGAAAUCAUCUGAGUUAAAGGUCACUUAAGAAUCCGUUGCUCAGUUACUGUGCAGGUAAAGGAUUAAUUGUGGGCAGAUGAGGAAGAGAGCAGAAAUGUGUGACCAGGGAAAUGAGAGCUAGGAUGGUUUCUUCCAGCCACAGAGCCAGCUUAUGGCAGUUUAAAGUAAUCGUGAAGCUACAGUGUUCGUCUCAUCCUCCCCUCUCAGUUUCAGGCCUUCUGGCCCUAGCUAUAUACUUCACAUUGGGGUAAUUCAGGUUCUUCCAAUUGCCAAAAGAAUUGGAAAGAAACAGGAGAAAGGUACCAGCUGUGGCUCAAAGCAGCCACUGAAGAUCCUGCCUGGGUCAAGGAUGAAGGCAGCAUGAACCUUCCAAGAAUUUUGACUACGGAUGUCCAACGAGGUCUUCUUGACUCCAUGGCUUCUCACAAACUUGCACUUUGAGCCCUGGUAGAAGAUUUGAAGAAGAAAUGUGUAUUUUAUCACAACAGCUUUCUUGGGAAACUUUCUGGGAAGUUUCUUCUCUAAAGCACACAGGUAGUAGUUCUCUAAGGAAAAAUGAACAGCUUCUCUUUAUUGCUGAGUCAAAUGAUGUGGUAUUCUCUGGUCUUUUUUGCAAAAGGAGCAGAACCAGUCAAUGAAAUUUUCCCACAUGAUUUGAGGAUUGUCUAUGUAAUAUCAAGCAUUAA